UUGUUUUCUUUUUCCAGUUAAUAACUUUCCAGACCUCUGCUGAACCAAGCAAGAGUGGAGAUAAGCUAUCGAAUAUAUUUCUUGAAAAAAUCAACAGCUUCAUGCUCCUCCUUAAAGAUCUGCCUUUUGUCUGGUAGAACUGCCUUGCCUGGGACAGUGUAGCUGUGUAUACUCUCCUUUCACAAGCAGGAGACUGGCAAAAGCACCAGCACCACUGUGAGGCACUCUUUGGAAGGCAAGGGCAGUUUCCACUGCCACAACAGCACAAGGAAUGGCCCAGUGUUCAGGAGUAUCACACUUCAGGUUUCCUCAUCAUGGUAGCUUCAUUGUCAGACAAGGAAGAGGAAAAAACUUUGUCCUAAUUAGUAUCGAUCAUCAAAUAGCAAAAUGGAGAUUCCACCUGAGAUGGAAUCACAGAUGCCACACUGAGAACUGGAAAAGCCCUGAAGGCUUUCUAGAGGGGAUAUAAGUAUAUUUGAUCUUCCUGGCUUUCUAUGCUCAUUCCUGACAAGCAGUGACAAGUGACCAGGAGGCAGUAAUUGGCUUCAAGGCAGCUUCACUGUGACUGAGUAAGGAAGUGGCAUCAUAUUUUUGCUGUGCAAACCCAAACUAAGGACUGGCCCAGCUGAAAACACAUUUUCUGAGGGCAAAAUUCACCUGUUCUAUGAUGAUAUCUUGUAUAAUAAUAUAACUACAUUGACUUGUA